rnacentral:rRNA from 1 species
UACGGAGGGUGCAAGCGUUAUCCGGAUUCACUGGGUUUAAAGGGUGCGUAGGCGGGUAGCUAAGUCCGUGGUGAAAUCUCUGAGCUUAACUCAGAAACUGCCAUGGAUACUAUUUGUCUUGAAUAUUGUGGAGGUAAGCGGAAUAUGUCAUGUAGCGGUGAAAUGCUUAGAUAUGACAUAGAACACCAAUUGCGAAGGCAGCUUACUACACAGUUAUUGACGCUGAGGCACGAAAGCGUGGGGAUCAAACAGG